AUUGAACGCUGGCGGCAGGCCUAACACAUGCAAGUCGAACGGUAACAGGAAGAAGCUUGCUUCUUUGCUGACGAGUGGCGGACGGGUGAGUAAUGUCUGGGAAACUGCCUGAUGGAGGGGGAUAACUACUGGAAACGGUAGCUAAUACCGCAUAACGUCGCAAGACCAAAGAGGGGGACCUUCGGGCCUCUUGCCAUCGGAUGUGCCCAGAUGGGAUUAGCUAGUAGGUGGGGUAACGGCUCACCUAGGCGACGAUCCCUAGCUGGUCUGAGAGGAUGACCAGCCACACUGGAACUGAGACACGGUCCAGACUCCUACGGGAGGCAGCAGUGGGGAAUAUUGCACAAUGGGCGCAAGCCUGAUGCAGCCAUGCCGCGUGUAUGAAGAAGGCCUUCGGGUUGUAAAGUACUUUCAGCGGGGAGGAAGGGAGUAAAGUUAAUACCUGUGCUCAUUGACGUUACCCGCAGAAGAAGCACCGGCUAACUCCGUG
rnacentral:rRNA from 1 species